rnacentral:rRNA from 1 species
UACGGAGGGUGCAAGCGUUAUCCGGAUUCACUGGGUUUAAAGGGUGCGUAGGCGGGUAGGUAAGUCAGUGGUGAAAUCUUCGAGCUUAACUCGGAAACUGCCUUUGAUACUAUCUAUCUUGAAUAUUGUGGAGGUAAGCGGAAUAUGUCAUGUAGCGGUGAAAUGCUUAGAUAUGUCAUAGAACACCUAUUGCGAAGGCAGCUUACUACGCAUAUAUUGACGCUGAGGCACGAAAGCGUGGGGAUCAAACAGG